AGAAUCAACGCUGGCGGCGUGCCUAACACAUGCAAGUCGCACGAGAAAGGGUAGCAAUACCUGAGUACAGUGGCGCACGGGUGAGUAACACGUGAAUGAUCUACCUCCGAGUGGGGAAUAACUGUGAGAAAUCUUAGCUAAUACCGCAUAAUACCCACGGGUCAAAGCAGCAAUGCGCUUGGAGAGGAGUUCGCGGCCGAUUAGUUAGUUGGCGGGGUAAUGGCCCACCAAGACGAUGAUCGGUA
rnacentral:rRNA from 1 species